GCCGAGUCUUGUAACGUGGGCUUGUAACCUAAGUUGGGGCAACAAUGUGGUGGAAUGUUAAUUAGGUUGUUCCAGAUGGCUGGGCUUUGGUUGGUAUUAGUCUGGCCUGCCCUAUCCAAGCACGGAGUUGAGUCACAUGGUCCAGACGAAAGUAUGGACUGCUUGGCUCUUAGAGUGGGGCGGACUGCGUGAGGCUGGUUUCACAGAGCAACGAAUAGUUCCCUCUGUGUAGUGGAAGGAUAACGGGUGGGUCGGUGCCUUUCCAAGUCCAACAAAACCUGAUGGGCUGCUUAACAAAACCAUCUCUUUU
rnacentral:SRP_RNA from 2 species